GCAAAGAAAUCAUUUAACUGGUCUAUAGGACCCAGCCAGAUCAUCAGGACAUCAUCGAUGUACCUUUUCCAGAGCACCAAGUCUGCACCAAAUGGGUUUGCACCAAACCAAAAUUAUCAGUGCUCUUAAUAGUUAGCUCUUUCCUUUUGCCUAAAUUCAUCAGAGUACUACUCUCUGUCGGGGUGAGAUUUUUAUGUUUACUUCUUCUAUCCUGAUUCCUUUCGAGUUUGUCGAAG